CACGUCUUCUUCGGUGUCUUCUUUUGAUCACCAUAACGUCUCCAUGACGUCUUGUGCGUGAAUCUUCUUCACGUCGUCUUCGGUUUACUCUUCAACCGACUUAUGCUCCAUUUUUCUCCGAGGUAAGCAUCCUCUUGUGCUCCAUUUUUCUCCGAGGUAAGCAUCCUCUUAUGGUGUCCUCUUUUGAUCACCAUCACGUCUCGAUGACGUCUCAUCAGUUCCCUUGAACCUUUUUGCUGAGUAGCCUUGCACUGUUCUCCCAAGAAGCUUACUCCGUGUUGCAGUGUUCUUUACAAUUCAACAACACCUUUUGAUACUAAGCCUUGCUCUGUUUCUUACACAGGCGGCUUCCUCCGUCUUGUUUCAGUUGACUCCUACUUCGGAUUCUCAACUUCAUCAAGUGAUGUCUUCUUUGCAUCCUUGAACUUCACCAAGACCUUGUUGAACAAAGUUUCAGAAUUCUCCUUCCACAACUCCAAAUCCACAUCCGUUUUCUCCGUUGCCUUUAGAAAAGAUUUCCUAUCUUCUUCAUCGCUUUUGGAGCCUUCUUCUUGAAGGAAAUGCUUGUGAAUACGUUUGUGAAGGUUGAUGGUACCCUAUCUUGUCACCAUCAAUUUUUUUCUUCCUUCCCUGUUUCUUCUUCUUCUCCUUUUUUUUUUCUUUUCGGUUUCUCACCGUUAAUUUGUUGUCUCCAUCUUUCUCUUCUUCUCGCAGCGGAAUUUUUUCUUAUCUUUGUUUUACUUGGACAGGCUCCAAGACCAAAUAAGCUCUGCUACCAUGUUGGAAUAUUGAGAGAAAGAAGAAAAACAAUGCAAGAGACAUUUGUCUCUUCUCUUGUAAAGAAGACAAGAACAAAAAUAACUCUUUAUUGAAUCUGAAACUUGUUAUUUUUACUCGACAAGACAUACACACUUAUAUACAUGUUUACAUAACUGCUCCACGUAACCGUUGGUAACAGUUGUAACUUCUCCGACAAGUUACGUCUCUUACUCACACCCGUUCCUGGUAAGUCAUAUGUAACAAAUUACAUCCGUUGACUUUACAUACAAACUAACACAUAUGAUAUUAGAAGAUUUAAUCAUGGACUCAAUUCUAACA
rnacentral:lncRNA from 1 species